rnacentral:rRNA from 1 species
AAACCAACAGGGAUUGCCUUAGUAGCGGCGAGUGAAGCGGCAAAAGCUCAAAUUUGAAAUCUGGCACCUUCGGUGUCCGAGUUGUAAUUUGAAGAUUGUAACCUUGGGGUUGGCUCUUGUCUAUGUUUCUUGGAACAGGACGUCACAGAGGGUGAGAAUCCCGUGCGAUGAGAUGCCCAAUCCUAUGUAAGGUGCUUUCGAAGAGUCGAGUUGUUUGGGAAUGCAGCUCUAAGUGGGUGGUAAAUUCCAUCUAAAGCUAAAUAUUGGCGAGAGACCGAUAGCGAACAAGUACAGUGAUGGAAAGAUGAAAAGAACUUUGAAAAGAGAGUGAAAAAGUACGUGAAAUUGUUGAAAGGGAAGGGUUUGAGAUCAGACUCGAUAUUUUGUGAGCCUUGCCUUCGUGGCGGGGUGACCCGCAGCUUAUCGGGCCAGCAUCGGUUUGGGCGGUAGGAUAAUGGCGUAGGAAUGUGACUUUGCUUCGGUGAAGUGUUAUAGCCUGCGUUGAUGCUGCCUUGCCUAGACCGAGGACUGCGAUUU